UACGUAGGAGGCGAGCGUUGUCCGGAAUUACUGGGCGUAAAGAGCGCGUAGGCGGCGCGGUACGACCGCUGUGAAAGCCCCCAGCUCAACUGGGGAGGGUCAGCGGUAACGGCCGUGCUAUGAGUGCAGGAGAGGGAAGCGGAACUCCGGGAGUAGCGGUGAAAUGCGUAGAGACCCGGAGGAACACCAGUGGCGAAGGCGGCUUCCUGGUCUGCGACUGACGCUGUGGCGCGAAAGCUAGGGGAGCAAACGGG
rnacentral:rRNA from 1 species